CAAUAGCGUAUAUUAAAGUUGUUGCGGUUAAAAAGCUCGUAGUUGGAGUUCUGCCAGGUGCCGCCUGUCCGCCCCAGUGGUGAGUACGUGGCGCGCAUUUGGCCCUUUCAAGGGGAGCGUAUCUGCACUUUAUUGUGUGGUGCGGGAUCCUUGACUUUUACUUUGGGGAAAUAGGAGUGUUCCAAGCAGGCUCUCGUCGUGCACAGCUCAGCAUGGAAUAAUAGCAUUGGACCUCGAUUCUAAGCUGUUGGUUGCCAGAAGCGAGGUAAUGAUGAAGAGGGAUAGUUGGGGGCAUUCGUAUUUAACUGUCAGAGGUGAAAUCCUUGGAUUUGUUAAAGACGGACUACUGCGAAAGCAUCUGCCAUGGAUGUUUUCAUUGA
rnacentral:rRNA from 1 species